rnacentral:rRNA from 1 species
GGCUCAGGAUGAACGCUGGCGGCGUGCUUAAUACAUGGCAAGUCGAACGAAGCACUUUCGGAAGAUCCCUUCGGGGUGACUCUGGUUGUGACUUAGUGGCGGACGGGUGAGUAACGCGUGGGUAACCUGCCGUUGCACAGGGGGAUAACAGUUAGAAAUGACUGCUAAUACCGCAUAAGCGCACGUGACCGCAUGGUCGUGUAGUGAAAAGAUUUUAUCGGUGCAAGAUGGACCCGCGUCUGAUUAGGUAGUUGGUGAGGUAACGGCCCACCAAGCCGACGAUCAGUAGCCGACUUGAGAGAGUGAUCGGCCACAUUGGGACUGAGACACGGCCCAGACUCCUACGGGAGGCAGCAGUAGGGAAUAUUGCACAAUGGGGGAAACCCUGAUGCAGCGACGCCGCGUGAGUGAAGAAGUAUUUCGGUAUGUAAAAGCUCUAUCAGCAGGGAAGAAAAUGACGGUACCUGACUAAGAAGCUCCGGCUAAAUACGUGCC